rnacentral:rRNA from 1 species
GCCAGCAGCCAUAUCGCCCUGCAACUCCCAGCUGGCAGCCCCCCUGGAGCUCAGCAGGUGUGAGCCUGGUCAUUACCUGGAUGGGAGACUCCUGGGAAAGCUAAGGCUGCUGCUGGAA